AUUGAACGCUGGCGGCAGGCCUAACACAUGCAAGUCGAACGAGUGGCGGACGGGUGAGUCAUGUCUGGGAAACUGCCUGAUGGAGGGGGAUAACUCCUGGAAACGGUAGCUAAUACCGCAUACCAUCGGAUGUGCCCAGGUGGGAUUAGCUAGUAGGUGGGGUAAAGGCUCACCUAGGCCACGAUCCCUAGCUGGUCUGAGAGGAUGACCAGCCACACUGGAACUGAGACACGGUCCAGACUCCUACGGGAGGCAGCAGUGGGGAAUAUUGCGCAAUGGGCGCAAGCCUGAUGCAGCCAUGCCGCGUGUAUGAAGAAGGCCUUCGGGUUGUAAAGUACUUUCAGCGGGGAGGCGUUACCCGCAGAAGAAGCACCGGCUAACUCCGUGCCAGCAGCCGCGGUAAUUC
rnacentral:rRNA from 1 species